AGCGAACGCUGGCGGCAGGCCUAACACAUGCAAGUCGAACGAACCUUUCGGGGUUAGUGGCGGACGGGUGAGUAACACGUGGGAACGUGCCUUUAGGUUCGGAAUAACUCAGGGAAACUUGUGCUAAUACCGAAUGUGCCCUUCGGGGGAAAGAAUUAUCGCCUUUAGAGCGGCCCGCGUCUGAUUAGCUAGUUGGUUGAGGUAAUGGCUCACCAAGGCGACGAUCAGUAGCUGGUCUGAGAGGAUGAUCAGCCACAUUGGGACUGAGACACGGCCCAAACUCCUACGGGAGGCAGCAGUGGGGAAUCUUGCGCAAUGGGCGAAAGCCUGACGCAGCCAUGCCGCGUGAAUGAUGAAGGUCUUAGGAUUGUAAAAUUCUUUCACCGGGGACGAUAAUGACGGUACCCGGAGAAGAAGCCCCGGCUAACUUCGUG
rnacentral:rRNA from 1 species